UCAUUUCUUGGCCUUUUGGCUAAGAUCAAGUGUAGUAU
rnacentral:snRNA from 1 species